GUUUAUUGGAAAGUGAAAUAUUAAAGUGAAAAUAUACUAUUGGCUUAAUUGGUUUUGGGACGAUGAAUAUGGUGAAAAGUUUGAAUGCUAUUUCCCAUUCUUUAUUGUGGAUGAUGUAUUGAAGCGAGACAAUUUGUAUUAUCAGUAAAUUGGGUUUUGAACUUUCCAUAUUAUCAUUUAAAAUUGGACUUCGGACUUUUAUCAAUGUAAUUAUUUUGUAUUGUAUUUGAAAUAUACUUGUUUCUUCUAAAUACUAUAA